UUGACUGUCACAAUACCGAUGCAUUCUUUGACAUCAUGCUUUGCGCUGUUAAAGGGAAUGACAAAUGUCAUUCUCAUUGGUUUAAAUGAUGUUACGCCCCAAACACACCC